GGUUGUGUUUGAUUCAAGAACUAAAUUUUAGAAAAUAAUUUGUAUUACUUUUUAGAAUAGGAGACAUUUUAGGAUAAUCUGAAAUAAGUUUGCGUGUUGUUUAUUUGUUUUUGAAGGAUAUUCCUUUGCAUUUGGUUCGGGUUAUCUUGGCAGGAUUACAAAUAAUCCUGGCAGGAUUACUACGUUUUUGUUCAUUCGGUAUACAAUCUGUUUGGUGUUGUCACAUUACAAAAGGUAUAAGAUUACACCAAAAAUAUCGAGAGGGGGGUAUGUAUCUUGGAUUACCGAAAACGGCAAAUCUUACAUGUUAUAUAAAAUUACAAGUUUACCCCUCCAUCUUCCGAAAUCCUUUCAAUACAUAAUUUUAAAAAUUUUAAUUUAAAAUUUUCAAUUAUAAAUUUUUAAAUUUUUAAUUUUAAAUUUAAAUUUUAAAUUUUUAAUUUUUAAAUUUAAAAUUUCCAAUUCUAAAUUUUAAAUUUUUAAACUUCAAAUUUUAAAUUUCAAAUUUUAAAUUUUAAAUUUUAAAUUUUAAAUUUUAAGGAUGAAAUUUUCGGAAAUAAAUUUUAGCUGCUUCUAAGGUCUCUAAAUUAAAAAUCUUAAUUUAAACAUCAGAACUAGAAUUUACAAAAUAGCUUCUUAACUAUUACAUUAAGCGAAAAUUACUCUUUGCCCGAAAAUCACAUUCUGAAAGACCAAGUAUGAAAAAUUAAUGUUUGCAUUGAAAAGAUGUUACAUGAAAUGCUAUCUUUGUAUACCCCAUUUGCGGUAUAUACGUUAAUUGAUUGAUGUGAGAUGAUUAGUGAAAAUUUUCACCAUCUAUUAAAUAGGUGGGCUAUAAAACUAUUAACCAUUUUUUCGGUGUGUGAAUAGCAUUGCACAUCAUACAUAAGUAUACUAGUUGUGUUUUCUUUUUCUUUUUUUAAUGUAUAAAGAGUAAGCACCGGUCUACUUUGACCGUAUGAGCGAAACUGAUGUCAUCCCAGCAAAUCCCACGUUUAAUUUAAGUGCAUAUGUAUACUUUAUUGAUUUCGUACGCUAUGGUGGACAAAUCUCUGACGCACACAUAAUAUUCAAACUCUUGGACCGGACAAGCUGGCCCUAGCCUAAAUUUUAGAAAGAAAAGAAAUACAAAACCAAUUCAACUAUCAAAAGAGGACAAAUAAUUGUUUAUUUGCACAAACUAUUAUUUAUUCACAAAUUUGUUUUAUAUGUAACAUUUUUUUAGCCAGUUACUUUUUUAUUCAUAGCUUUUGUUUUUUUUUUUUCUAAUAUUAGUAAAUUAUUAUUUCACUUGAUGCUGAGACCAGUAAUGCUGCUCCCAUAACUAUUUUUCGAUUGUAAUCCUACAAUGCAAUCGUUUAAGGGCCCGAAUUUUUCUUUGACCUCUUUUCUCUUGUAAUAUUGCUAAAGCACAAUUUUUUUUUUUUAAAGGAUUAAGUAUAAAAACGAUAUAGGCUUAAUUAGUAUUUUUGUUCUAUCUAAGAGGGGUGUACGCAGGGACGAAACUAUAUGGAGGCUCAAGAUGGCCAUGGCCCUCCCCUCAACUUUUCAAUAUUUAUUUAAUGGUCCU
rnacentral:lncRNA from 1 species